rnacentral:rRNA from 1 species
UGAGGAAUAUUGGACAAUGGAGGCAACUCUGAUCCAGCCAUGCCGCGUGCAGGAUGACUGCCCUAUGGGUUGUAAACUGCUUUUAUACAGGAAGAACCGCCUUGACGUGUCAGGGUUUGACGGUACUGUAAGAAUAAGGAUCGGCUAACUCCGUGCCAGCAGCCGCGGUAAUACGGAGGAUCCAAGCGUUAUCCGGAAUCAUUGGGUUUAAAGGGUCCGUAGGUGGUUAUUUAAGUCAGAGGUGAAAUCCUGCAGCUCAACUGUAGAAUUGCCUUUGAUACUGAAUAACUUGAGUUAUUGUGAAGUAGUUAGAAUGUGUAGUGUAGCGGUGAAAUGCAUAGAUAUUACACAGAAUACCGAUUGCGAAGGCAGAUUACUAACAAUAUACUGACACUGAUGGACGAAAGCGUGGGUAGCGAACAGG